UUCAUCCAGACAAAAAUGCCUCAGUAUUG
rnacentral:piRNA from 1 species